rnacentral:rRNA from 1 species
UACGGAGGGUGCGAGCGUUAAUCGGAAUUACUGGGCGUAAAGCGCGCGUAGGCGGUCUGUUAAGCGGGGUGUGAAAUCCCCGGGCUCAACCUGGGAAUGGCAUUCCGAACUGACAGACUGGAGUACGGUAGAGGGUGGUGGAAUUUCCGGUGUAGCGGUGAAAUGCGUAGAGAUCGGAAGGAACAUCAGUGGCGAAGGCGGCCACCUGGACUGAUACUGACGCUGAGGUGCGAAAGCGUGGGGAGCAAACAGG